rnacentral:tRNA from 1 species
UUAAAGAUAAGCUAAUUUAAGCUUAAAGGUUCAUACCCUUUAUAUAGAUACUUCACUCUUCUUUAAA